GAUGAAGAACGUAGCAAAAUGCGAUAAGUAAUGUGAAUUGCAGAAUUCAGUGAAUCAUCGAAUCUUUGAACGCACAUUGCGCCCAUUAGUAUUCUAGUGGGCAUGCCUGUUCGAGCGUCAUUUCAACCCUUAAGCCUAGCUUAGUAUUGGGAAUCGACUUUACUGUCGUUCCUCAAAUUCAACGGCGGAUUUAUAGCAAUCUCUGAACGUAGUAAUUUUUUUUCUCGUUUUUGAAAUACUAUAAACCUCAGCCGCUAAACCCCCAAUUUCUUAUGGUUGACCUCGGAUCAGGUAGGAAUACCCGCUGAACUUAAGCAUAUCAAUAAGCGGAGGA
rnacentral:misc_RNA from 1 species